GGCUUAGUAGCAUUAUUUGUUUUAAUUGAGAAUAUAGAAUUCCAGAGAGCAGAGGUGAUUUGGCAAAGCUAAUGCAACUAAAUUUCAUUCCACAGAAGCAUUAAUAGCUAACAGUCAUUGUGUUUACUAUCUGUGUUACGAGUACUUUUUUCUCAUUUAAUUCUCCCACAACUCUAUAGACUGUAUUACUUGCCCCAUUUUAUGGAUGAAGAAACUAAGCCUUGCAGAAAUUUUUAAAUUGCCCCCAUUUGCACAACUAGAAGGAGGCAAAGCCUGGAAUUUUACAUUGGAGUAUAUGACUCCCAGUACGUAGUUGUGUAUUUUUAGUUGUGGGUCCUUCUAGUUGUGGCAUGUGGGAUGCCGCCUCAGCAUGGCUUGAGGAGUAGUGCCAUGUCCGCGCCCAGGAUUCGAACCGGCGAAACCCUGGGCUGCUGAAGCAGAGCACGCGAACUUGACCACUUGGCCAUGGGGCCGGCCCCUCAAGUUGACUUUUAAACCUCUCAUUCUGAUGUUACAGCUUUUGGACAAAAGCUCCAAAGCUAUUAUCAGAAAAAAAUGCAUAUGAAGCAGCAAACUUCCACGUGCGUGAG
rnacentral:lncRNA from 1 species